AGUGAAUGGCUUCUAAAGGGAGGAGCUUCCGAAACUCAGAGUCCUGUUACUAAACGCUGGAGAUUUGGGAGUGAAGGAGCAGCUCAAGUCAUUUUCUCUUUGCAGGUUUCUUCGCACAUCUAAAGGACGCACACUUCGUUCGCCUCAUAGCGCAGGGUCACACUCUCAGGAUUGAAGCAUGGAUGAUGAUUUUGAACGGCGCAGGGAGCUCAGGAGACAGAAACGGGAGGAGAUGCGCCUGGAAGCCGAGAGAAUGGCGUAUCGCCGGAAUGAGGAGGAUGAGGAGGAGGCCGCUCGUGAGCGCAGACGAAGAGCGCGACAGGAGAGACUGCGCAGUAAGGACAGUGAAGAUGUGGCCUACAAACCUGAGACCCCGGAGCUCAACAACAGCCACAGCAUUACGGUGACAGAGAGUGUAUCCACCUCAGUGAUGUCCUCCAGCGGGACGGGAGAGGGGGACGAGGAGGAACAGGCCCUGCUGGAGCGCCUAGCUAAGAGAGAGGAGCGCAGGCAGAAGAGGAUGAAGGAGGCGCUGGACAGACAGGAGCAGGAGGACACCAGCCAAACCUCAGAGAGCAGCAUUGGUCUGCGGCGCGGCCGGAGCUACGAGGUAGAGGAGGAGCACAACAGCAAGGAGGAGGAGAAAGAGGAGGAGAAACCGGUGGAAGAGGAGGAGGAGGAAGAGGAGGAGGAGGAGGUGGUCAUCCCUAGGGAGGAGGUGGUUGUGGAGGAAAAGCCACGGAGGUCUUAUUUGAGAGAACAGGAAUCCAUUGAGGAAAUAUCUAAAAUACCUGAUAAGGACAAUAAUGAGCAAGAUGCUGUGCCUUCUUCUGAAGUACGUGAGGUGAUUUUAAAUGAAGACGUAGAUGAUUCCGCAGUUGUUUCGGGGACGGAUGAGGAAAAUGGCACCACAGAACUCACUGCUGGUGUACACAAGGAAAAGAGUGAGAUAGAGGGAUUGACAGAGAAUGGAGUGGAUGAAAUGAGAGAGGCAGAAAACUUUGAGAAAUAUGAGAUUUCAGAAAAUGAUGAGUCUUUGAUGGAAGAUGAAGAUGUGAUGAGGAAGAAUAAACAGCCAAAUGGAGGAGUGUGUGAGGACAGCACUCCCAAACACAAGAAAGCCGAGAGGACUUUCAGCCGAGGCAGCUUACGCUCUCCUGAGGCGCCGGAAGCAGACGAGGCAGAUGGUGAGGAUGCUCGCUUGGAGGCCGAGAGAAAGCUGGAGGAACUGAAGAGGAGAAGAGAUGAGAUGGAGAGCGAGGAGUUCGAGAGGAUGAGGCAGAAACAGCAGGAGGCCGAAGUGGAGCUGGAAGAGCUGAAGAGGAAGAGGGAGGAGAGGAGGAAGGUGCUGGAAGAGGAGGAGCGGCUGAGGAAGCAGGAGGAGGCCGAGAGGAAGGCCAGAGAGGAGGAGGAGAAGAGGAGGAUGAAGGAGGAGAUAGAGAAGAGAAGAGCGGAGGCGGCUGAGAAGAGGCAGAAAGUGGAGGAUUCUGUGGACGGAGAGACCAGGAAGCCUUUUAAGUGUGUCAGUCCCAGAGGAUCCUCUCUGAAGAUCGGUGAGAGGGCAGAAUUUCUCAACAGAUCAGCACAAAAGAGUUCUGUGAAAGCAUCUCACGCUCCCGUGGUGUCUAAGAUUGAUAACAGAUUAGAGCAGUACACCACCGCAGUGCAGAGCCACAAGGAGGUCAGAUCUCCCAGAUCAGCUGCCAUAGAUCUUCCUAUGGUGACGGACGGUAUUCGCAACAUCAAGAGCAUGUGGGAGAAGGGGAAUGUCUUUAGUUCUGGUGGAAGCCCAGCGUCCGCCAAUAAGGAUGCAGCUGGGAUAAAGGUGGGCGUGGCUGGCCGCAUUAACGAUUGGUUGAAUAAAACUCCAGAGACGGGCAAAAUGUCAGGAGGAAGACCUGCGGACCUGAAACCAGGUGACGUGACCAGCAAACGCAGUCUAUGGGAAAACAAAGGGUCCUCUGCUACCAAGCCAUCCCCUUGCUAAUUGUCUACAGAUCUGACCACCUUGAGGAGGUCGCAAGCAGAGGAGAGACCAAAUCUGUCACCAAUGGAAUGGGCCAUUAACCCUUCAAAGACGCCAGAGAGGCAGGGACCAAGAGAAUGCACAACAUUCCUUUUUUAAACUUUUAUUAAUACCAAAAAAAAAAAAAAAAACACAAGCAUUUUAUACUGCAAGGAUGAUCUAUGUGUGUAGACACGGUAUAAAAGAGAGAAAAAUGUAAAAAAAAAAAUAUAUAUAUAUUUUAUCACUGUAUUCACAGGCCACCAUCUUGCACCAUCAUAACAAACGCAGUUGCAUGUACCUUCUGUUAAACUGAAAUCUAGGCUGUGAAAACGAGAAAUUCAACUUUAAUUUGUUAAAAUUAUAUAACAGCUCAAAAUAUUACAAGAUUUCUUGGAUAGGAGGACGAGGAGUAGCAUUCCGAAUUGUCUUUUGUCAAAUCACAAAUCAUUUUAAACAUGUUAGUUACCCUUCUCACCUGUUAAUUUAUAACUAAAGCAAAGCUUCACCUUGCAUUUCUUAUAUGUUCGCCAGUUCCAGACCGAAUAUGAGCACCAGUAGAGUAGCUGUAUUUUGUACUUUUUGUCGUAACGAUUCUUUUUUUUUUUAAAUUGUCUUAAUAAUAUAUGUUAGCACAUAGUGUAAGUUUUUGUAAUUAACUAUAUAUGUUACUGCUUGAUACAAGAAGGUCUUUGCUUUUGCUCUCAAUAUUAUUUUAUAUCAAAGCAAGUUUUAAUUCAGCAGAAGUCCAUUAUAGUCGUACCGUUAUUAUUACAUUAUCUUUGGCUUUUUUGUACUCUUGGAAACACUGGUCUGAAGUUGUUUGUGACCAUCUUUCUGUAAGUAUUAAUCACCAUGUGUCAUGUGGAAUAAUCGGUAUUGGUUAAAACAAGAGAACUCGAAAGAAAGGGAACAUGCACUUUUUGGUUUAAAUCACAUAUUUGAUCAGUACAUUUCACAAUUUUUGCAUAUAAUGCAAAACCUUGGUUAAUUUCAGCAAGGACAAAUAGAAGGACAAGGAUAGUCAAAGUCAAUUUAUGUUUAUAAGUGUUUCAUUUUCUGAGUGUCUUCUUUCUGUGUUGCAAUCGAUUCAUUCUAAAUUGCAAUACGGAUUUUGCCCUCUUUCGAUACACGGCUAGCUGGCAGAACAUCAUCAUUUAAACUUGUCAUUUCUGACAUCUUAUGUCAGACAAAGAAUAUCCACACUGUUAAAAUUUUUAAGUAAGUUACCUGGUUGCCUUAAAAAUUUGAGUUCAUUGAAAUUAAAAAUUUGAAUUAAUACAAUGAAGGCGAUUGGUUUAAUCAACUGAACCUGAAUCUGAACCAUGUUAAUUUUUGAAGCUGAUUUGACAAAAUGAUAACAAAUCAUGAAAAUAUUUUUUUUACAGUGCAGUUCUGCCGCCGUAGCUUAACACUAAUGUCUCUAAACGUUCAAAGUUCCUGUAUUCUGCUUGUAUUUUUUGACAAUCAAGUUUUUUUUACUAUGUGUUUCAUCUUUGUAAACACCUAUGUAUUGUUUCAGAGUAACACUAUGCAAGUCGCACCACCUUUAAUUGCAAUUACCUUGUUACAAAUAUGACCGUUUGUAGCCAAUAGUUCCAUACAGAGCAACAUUGUAUCAUUGUCUCAGUGACCACAAUAAAGAGACCAAUGAACAACA